UGACUGAGUGGCGGACGGGUGAGUAACACGUGAGUAACCUGCCUCUGAGAGUGGGAUAGCUUCUGGAAACGGAUGGUAAUACCGCAUGAAAUCAUAGUAUCGCAUGGUACAAUGAUCAAAGAUUUAUCGCUCAGAGAUGGACUCGCGUCUGAUUAGCUAGUUGGUAAGGUAACGGCUUACCAAGGCGACGAUCAGUAGCCGGACUGAGAGGUUGAUCGGCCACAUUGGGACUGAGACACGGCCCAGACUCC
rnacentral:rRNA from 1 species